UACGGGGGGGGUAAGCGUUGUUCGGAAUUACUGGGCGUAAAGGGCUCGUAGGCGGCCAACUAAGUCAGACGUGAAAUCCCUCAGCUUAACUGGGGAACUGCGUCUGAUACUGGAUGGCUUGGAUUCGGGAGAGGAAUGCGGAAUUCCAGGUGUAGCGGUGAAAUGCGUAGAGAUCCGGAAGAACACCGGUGGCGAAGGCGGCCUGCUGGGCAGUGGCUGACACUGAGGCGCGACAGCGUGGGGAGCAAACAGG
rnacentral:rRNA from 1 species